GUCACUUCUCGGAGAAUUAACCUGGUUAUUGUUGCUGAACUGUUGGCGCCUAAUAUUUAAAAUUGUUUGUAAAUAUUUACUUGUGGAUGUAUGAGUUAAAAUCGCAUUUUGCGAAAUAUAUGGUGCCUAUAUUUAGCGGUUUGAUUGGAGUUAAGGGUCUUAUCUUCCAUAAAUGCGGCCUCAGUGACACCUUAGGCUUUUUAUGUCGAAAAUAUUAACAGGGGCAACAAUAAUAUCAUUAAUAUCUGCUUUCAUGGGGACUCAGAUGGUAUUGGAAACAUUCAGCUUGAGGCCCCAUCGGAUGAGGUUUUGUGACCAAAUUUGGAUUACUUCAAUUAAAAACGAAUCAUUUCGUUAUUGCGUGAUUCACAACAUCCACUUUCAUGUACAAAGCAAAUUGAAUUUAUUCAAGAUUUCUUGAAAAUAAAAAUUUGCGAGCGUAAUUGGAUCCUUUUGUGUCAAUGUUGCUGGUUCACUUGAA